rnacentral:rRNA from 1 species
UGGGGAAUUUUGGACAAUGGGGGCAACCCUGAUCCAGCCAUGCCGCGUGCAGGAUGAAGGCCUUCGGGUUGUAAACUGCUUUUGUCAGGGACGAAAAGGACCGUGUUAAUACCAUGGUCUGCUGACGGUACCUGAAGAAUAAGCACCGGCUAACUACGUGCCAGCAGCCGCGGUAAUACGUAGGGUGCAAGCGUUAAUCGGAAUUACUGGGCGUAAAGCGUGCGCAGGCGGUUCUGUAAGACAGAUGUGAAAUCCCCGGGCUCAACCUGGGAAUUGCAUUUGUGACUGCAGGACUAGAGUUCAUCAGAGGGGGGUGGAAUUCCAAGUGUAGCAGUGAAAUGCGUAGAUAUUUGGAAGAACACCAAUGGCGAAGGCAGCCCCCUGGGAUGCGACUGACGCUCAUGCACGAAAGCGUGGGGAGCAAACA